rnacentral:rRNA from 1 species
GGGGAAUAUUGCACAAUGGGCGAAAGCCUGAUGCAGCGACGCCGCGUGAGCGAUGAAGCCCUUCGGGGUGUAAAGCUCUUUCGACGGGAACGAUAAUGACGGUACCCGAAGAAGAAGCUGCGGCUAACUACGUGCCAGCAGCCGCGGUAAUACGUAGGCAGCAAGCGUUGUUCGGAAUUACUGGGCGUAAAGAGUGUGUAGGCGGUGUUCUAAGUCUGUUGUGAAAUCUCCCGGCUUAACUGGGAGGGUGCGGCGGAAACUGGAAUGCUAGAGGAUGGGAGAGGUAAGCGGAAUUCCUGGUGUAGCGGUGAAAUGCGUAGAUAUCAGGAGGAACACCUGUGGUGUAGACAGCUUACUGGACCAUUUCUGACGCUGAGACACGAAAGCGUGGGUAGCGAA